CUGAAAACUCAAUGAAUGAGAUGGAGAAUGCAUUAGAAAGCAUUAGAAAUAGAACAGACCAUAUGGAAGAGAGAAUUAGUGAGCUUGAAGAUAGAAACCUAGAAAUAAUUCAAGUAGAAGGGAGAACUAACAUUUAAAAAGAACAAAUUCUACAAGAACUAUUCAACUUCAUUAGAAAGGGCAACAUAAGAAUAAUGGGUAUCUCAGAAAGAGAUACAAGAGAGAGAAAAAGACUAAGAGAUUAUUUAAAGAAAUAAUAGCUUAGAAUUUUCCACACCUGAGGAAGGAACUGGAUAUACUAACCCAUGAAGCUAAUAAAAUACCCAGUUACCUCAACGUAAAAACACCUUCUCCAAGAAACAUGAUAAUAAAGUUGUCAAAAGUCAAUGACAAGGCAGAAUAUUAAAGACAGCCGGGGGAAAAAAAUAACCUGUAAGGAACCCCCAUUAGCUAUCAGCACAUUUCUCAGCAGAAACUCUAUAGGCCAGUAGAGAGUAGAAUGAUAUAUUCAAAAUAUUCAAAGAUAAAAGCCAUCGGCCAAGAAUAUUCUACCCAGCGAAACUAUCCUUCAGAUACGAAGGAGAAAUAAAGGCUUUCCCAGAAAAACAAAAGCUCAAGGAGUUCAUUGCCACUACACCUGCCUUACAAGAAAUGUUGAAAGGAGCUCUUUCACCUGAAACAAAAAGGUAAAGGUACACAAAACUUUGAGCAAGGUGAUAAACUGACAAGAUACACUUAGAAAAUUGCAACUCUCUAUCAGAAUAGGUUGGGAAACAACUAUAAUAUAAAGGUUAAAUAAAACAAAGCCAUUCCAAUUUGGUAAUGAUUUCACAACAAAAAUGGGAUAAUCUGCAACAUCAAAAACAUAGAAAGGGAGGAGUUAAAGGGACAGAACUUUCAUAGAUAAAUGAAGGUAACAAGCUAUCAACAGAAAAAGGACUAUUUUAUCUAUGAGACCUUAUAUACAAACCUCACGGAAACCACAAAACAAAACUUCAGAGCAGAGACAAAACACAUAAAAAAGAGGAAACAGAAAGACAUCACAGAAAAACACCAAAUUGAAAUGGCAGACAGAAACACAAGGAAAAAGAAACAACAGAGAUACAGAGCAACCAGAAAACAAAAGGCAAACUGGCAGUACUAAUUACUCAUGUAUCAAUAGCCAUCCUAAAGGUAAAUGAAUUGAAUUCACCAAUCGAAAGACAAAGAGUGGCUGAAUAGAUUAAAAAACUAUAUGCUGCCUCCAGGAGAUUCAUCUCAGCUUUAAAACAAAACACAGUCUCAAAGUGAAGGGAUGGAAAGUGAUACUCCAAGCAAACAGCAAAAAAAAGAAAGGGGUGUAAUCAUACUUAUAUCAGAUAAAUUAGACUUCAAGCCAAAAUGGUAACAAGAGAUGACAAAGAUGAACAUUACAUAAUGAUAAAGGGGACAGUCCACCAAAAAGAUUUAACAUUUAUUAAUAUGUUAAUAAGUUAUGCACCUAACAUAGAAGCACCAAAAUAUAUAAACCAACUAACACACCUAAAGACAGAAAUUGAUAGUAACACAAUAGUAGUAGAGGAAUUUAAUACUCUGCUUACACCAAGGGAUAGAUCAUCCAGACAGAAAGUCAACAAGGAAACGUCAGCCUUAAAGGAAACAUCAGACUGGAUGGAGUUAAUAGAUACACAUACAUAGAACACUCCAUCCAAAAGCAACAGAAUAAACAUUCUUCUCAAGUGCACAUGGAACUUUCUCAAGAACAGACCAUAUGUUAGGACGCAAAACACUCUCAACAAAUUGAAGAAGACUGAAAUAAGACCAAGUAUCUUUCAAAUCACAAUGGUAUGAAACUAGAAAUCAACUAAAAGAAGAAAGAUGGAAAUGUCACAAACACAUUGAGACUAAACAACAUGCUACAAACAACUACUGGAGAAAGAAGAAAUCAAAGGAGAAAUCAAAAAAUAGCUGUAGACAAAUGAAAAUUUUUUUUAAAAGCCCAAAAUCUAUGGAAUGCAGCAAGAGCAGUACUAAGAAGCAACCUUACAGUAAUACAAGUCUGCCUCAAAAAACCCAGAAAAAUAUCAAAUAAACAAUCUAACACUACAACGAAAAGAACUAGAAAAAGAGGAACAAAGCCCAAAAUUAGUAGAAGCAAGGAAAUAAUAAAAAUCAUAGUGAAAAUAAAUGAAACAGAGACUAAAAAACAACAGAAAGCAUCAAUGAAACUAAGAGCUUGUUCAACUGACAAACCUUUUAACUAGAUUCACUGAGGAAAAAAAGAAAAGGCUCAAAUAAAUAAAAUCAGAAAAAAAGAGAAAUUACAGAGGAUAAGAAAGGAUUAAGACAAUAAUACAAAAAGCUAUAUGCCAACAAAUUAGAUAAUCUGGAAAAAAUGGAUAAAAAUUCUUCCAAAGCUGAAAAUGGAAGAGAAUAUGAAUAGACCAAUCACUAGUAAACAGAUCAAAACAGUAAUCAAAAACCUCCCAAAAGACAAAGGCCAGGACCAGAUGGCUUCCCUGGUGAAUUCUACCAAACAUUCAAAGACUUAAUAUCUACCCUUCUCAAACUCUUCCAGAAAAUUGAAGAGGAGAGGAUGCUUCCUAACUCAUUCUACAAGGCCAACAAAACCCGGGUACCAAACCAGACAAGGGCAACAAACAAAAACAGCAAAUUACAGGUCAAUAUCACUGAUGAAGGUAGAUGCAAAGAUCCUCAACAAAAUACUAGCAGAUCAAAUACAACAAUACAUUUAAAAGAUCAUACACCAUGAUCAAGUGGGAUUUAUUCCAGGGAUGCAAGGAUGGUUCAACAUCUGCAAAUCAAUCAAUGUACUAUACCACAUUAACAAAAUGGAGGGAAAAAAUGACAUAAUCAUCUCAACAGAUGCAGAGAAAGCAUUUAACAACAUCCAGCGUCCAUUUAUGGUAAAAACUCUCAAAAAAAUGGGUAUAGAAGGAAAGCACCUCAAUAUAAUCAAGGCCAUAUGUGACAAACCCACAGCCAACAUCAUACUCAAUGGGGAAAAAUUGAAAGCCAUCCCUCUGAGAUCAGGAACAAGACAAGGGUGCCUACUCUCACCACUCUUAUUCAACAUAGCACUAGAGGUUUUGGCCAGAGCAAUCAGGCAAGAAAAAGGAAUAAAAGGAAUCCAAAUAGGCAUGCAGUGAAACUCUGUUUGCAGAAGACAUGAUUUUAUACAUAGAAAACCCUAAAGAAUCCAUCGGAAAACUAUUAGAAAUGAUCAACAACUACAGUAAAGUUGCAGGGUACAAAAUCAAUUUACAAAAUUCAGCUGCAUUUCUAUACUCAAAUAAUGAACUAACAGAAAGAGAACUCAAGAACACAAUCCCAAGUACAAUCGCAGCAAAAAUAAUAAAAUAUCUAGGAGUAAAUUGAACCAAGGAGGUGUAAGACCUAUACAAUAACAACUCUAAGAAAUUGCUGAAGGAAACUGAUGAUGACAUAAAGAAAUAGAAAGAUAUUCCAUGCUCACUGCCUGUAAGAACAAACAUAGCUAAAAUGUCCACACUACCUAAAGCAAUCUACAGAUUCAAUGCAAUCCCAAUCAGAAUCCCGAUGAUUCUUCACGGAAAUAGAACAAAGAACCUAAAAUUCAUAUGAUGCAACCAAAGACCCUGAAUAGCUAAGGCAAUCCUGAGAAAAAAGAACAAAGUUGGAGACAUCACAAUCACUGACUUCAAAAUAUACUACAAAGCUACAGUAAUCAAAAUAGCAUGGUACUGGUACAAAAAUAAGCACACAGAUCAAUGGAACAGAAUUGAGAGCUCAGAAACAAAACCACACAGCCAUGGACAGCUAAUCUCUGAAAAAGGUGCUAAGAACGUACAAUGGAGAAAGGAAAGUCUCUUCAAUAAAUGGUGCUGGCAAAACUGGACAGCCACAUGCAAAAGAAUGAAAGUAGACCAUUAUCUUACAGGACACACAAAAAUAAACUCAAAAUGGAUCAAAGACAUGAAGGUAAAACCUGAACCCAUAAAACUUCUAGAAUAAAAUAUAGGCAGUACACUCUUGGACAUCAAACUUAAAAGGAACUUUUUGAAUACCAUGCCUUCUUGGACAAGAAAACAAAAGAAAAAACAAGUAGAACAUCAUCAGACUAAAGAGCUUCUGCAAGGCAAAGUAAACCAGGAUUAAAAUGAAAAGACAACUCACCAAUUGGCAGAAAAUACUUGCAAAUCAUAUAUCUAACAAAUGGUUAAUCUCCGUAAUAUAUAAAGAACUCACACAAAUGAACAACGAAACAAGAAACAACCCAAUCAAAAAAUGGGCAGAGGGGCUGGCCUGGUGGUGCAGCAGUUAUGUUCACGUGGUCCACUUCAGCUGCCUGGGGUUCUCCAGUUUGGAUCCUGGGCACGACCUAUGCAUGGUUUAUCAAGCCCCACAUAUAAAAGAGAGAAAGAUGGGCGUAGAUUUUAGCUCAGGGCCAAUCUCCCUCAGCAAAAAGAAGAGGACAGGUGGUGGAUGUUAGCUCAGGGCUUAUCUUCCUCAAACAAAACAAAACAAAACUGGAAACUGUUUCUCCAUAAAACAACGACAGGGUUUAUGGUAUUACUGGCAUACUGCUAUAGUUUGGUUUCAUAAAAGACUAUUGUGGAACUGGCUUUCUAGUGCUAUUUCUAUGGGAAAAGGUGUCAAAGUUCUGAGCAUCUGACUGAAAAUUUCUGAAGAGCAUAUAAAAUUUCACUAAGUUUCCAAACAAAAGAAACAAAGCUCCUUGCUUGUAAGGCUGUAGUUACUUUCUGAGAAGCUCUAACUGGAGGCAGGGCCCAAUCACUCGCCAGACUUUCUCUCAACACUCCUUAUCCCCUGCCACGCCACACCGUGUUACCCCCAUUUCUAAGAUUCUGUUAUGUCCCCAGCCUCAUUACAAUGGGGAGAGCACUCAGGGAAGAGAAAAAAAAAGUCAUUCCUGUGUGAUAUUGAUGUGCCCUUUUAAAGUGCUGUAGAAGCGGCCACUUUCUACUACCCUCUAACACAAAGGUCACAUGGGCAGAAAAUCCAGCUGAUUGUGAGCAGAGAUAACUCAGGAUGACAUAUGGUCCCAAUAAACACAGGCUUAGCAAAGAGUAAACAAUCAGGCAGACAAGAGGCUGAGGUGGGCCUAGGGAUUUUUGAAAAAGAGUUUCUGGGAGGAAAAGCCUAUUCAGAACAGAAAUAUAAAAAGUGUUAUAAUUAAAACUCCAAUAAUAAUGGAAGGUUUUAUUUAAAAUACAAACAAAAGCCUAUUUUUUUUCCUAUUUAAUGGUGAAGGUAAAAUUUAUAGUGGAGUGACUCUCAAAGUGAAAAUUUUUUAGUUAUUUUUUUUAUUAAGAAACCCCAAAAUUUGGAAUAUAAGAAAAAUGAUCUAGACUCCCACUGUCCUGCCAGAACCUGUGUUGACAUUUUGACAUACCUCCCUCUAGUCUUUCCAAAAGCCUUCUGAUAUUUCUGACAAAAUGGGAUGGAAGAGGGGAGCCUGAAGUCUUCUGUAACAACCCCUUCCCCUCCCAACUAAGCAGCCGCUGUAAGAACACAGUCCUCCCAGGAGAGGACUGCCGACCUCCGUGGACAGCCGAUGCUCCACCCCAUUCUCCACACUCUACUCUUCACCUUAGCCAUCAGGAUAGGGGGAUGGACUUAUCUUCCUCUGAAACAACAAAAACUCAUUAGAAUCUGUAACACUGCAUAUUUUCCAUGAAAUAAAUGUCUACAAAUAGACAUCAAUUCAUAUGCCUUCGUUAAGAAUGGGGGGAGGGAUUCAAAUGCAAUCACUGUGGCAAUCAAAGGUCUGGGUCUUCUUUACAAUCAUCAAAAUGGAUUAAUUGGGCCAUUCAACUAUUCGAGUGAAAAAAAACUCUCUGAGGCCUAAUGUUUUAUAUAAGAGAAGACUAUGAAUGCCAGAAAUGUUUCGUUUUUAUAAUUUGAUUCUAAUUUCUUCUUCUUCAAGGAAAAUAGUUCAAAACUGCUUAUUCUCAUAAAAUGGAAUUGAACACGUAAAGAUCAACUAAUUCAAAAUAAAAUUUGAUAUUGACAUGAUGGAAAUAAAAAGCACGGGUGUUAUCCUCAUUAAAGAUGUGUCAUAUUUUGCAUUCUUAUUUCAAGAGUCUGUAAUUAUAAAAUUAAUAAAAACCAACAACUGAGUACUAAAGGCCACGUAUGUUGGGUUUAAGAAGGUAUCAGUGUAACCUAGAAAUACGCGAGCAGAAUGAUCCAAUAAUUAGAAACAUCAAGGUCUGGCUGCUGGUUUGGGCCACAUGUAAGCAGCAAAGAAAGGAAAGUAAGGAGGAAGCACCCGCUCCAGCCACAAGGGAAAAACGCAACUUAGACCAACCAGCAUUUAAAAAAACAAAUACACACCCUAAUCGAAAACUAAAAUAGUCAUUGAAAUAUAGCAUUUUUGAAGUUACAAGGGAUUUCGCCACCGAAGCUUCCCAAAAGCUAUAUUCAAUUUGGUUAAUGAAAAGCUAUUCUCGUUUUCUUUUCUAAAGAAAAUAAAGAUUCCCUCUAAUCAGUCUUCCUCAAGAAUUACUAAAACAGAAUAUAUACACACACACAGAUAUAUCCUAUACUAUUGAGAAGGAAAAAACCAAUCUGAGGUGACACUGGAAUAAGGUCAUUCUAAAUAAGAAAAGAUGUUAAUAGAGAAUCUGAUCUUACUUUUAAUCAAAGUUUUAUUUUUAAAACAGCCUGGAAAUUGACAUUCACUUUAAAAAAGUUUAAAUGAAAACUGCAUUAACUUACAAAUGCACACUUGCAACUGUCACAUAUCCUUUUAAACAUAUACGUGUUUGUGCGCAUACAAAUAAAAGAUAUCAUCGGCCAAGGAAGAGCCAAACAGUAAAAUGAUCAUCCACCUACUCACGCCCUGGAUUCAACAUUGCUAACACCCUGUCAAACCGCUUUCUCUAUCUAGACAGACACAUAUUCUGUUUUUUUCUGAAUCACUUACACAUUACAGAUACCCUUCUCCAUUGCUUGCCGCAUACUGCACUGCUGCAACAGCCAACUAUAUUCAUUGGAUCCUAUCACCAAUAUGAUUGCCCGAUCAAUUUUUCUAAUAGACUUUUCGUGAUGUCACUCUUCUAAUCAAGCGCCUACGAUGGCUUCCUGCUAUUCCAAUUCUAGAUUUUCCCAGUCGUCUUCUCACCUUCCCUUCCCUGACCUUCCAUUAUUUUGUGACAAGGAAAGCCUGCGUUUACCUUGAACACAGCCUUCUGCCUGAAGUGCCCUCUUCCUGCUGACCUAAAUCCCGAACAUCUUUCAAAGCUAAAAUCCCACCUCAACUCUUAGGAAGCCUUUCUUCGCCAACAACCCCAAGCCAUGUUGUUUUUGUUAUUAAAGGCCCUACUAUUCCAGUCACAACUGGAAACUAACACUUAACUCUCCUCUAAUCACUUCACGUCUGUACUUACACGGUAUCCCCAGAUUGACUACCAACUUCUUGUUCCCAUUUAGCACUGUGCUCAGCUCAAAAAAUUUUAUUCAUUGGUUAAUAACCAAUAAUUUCCUAGUUAUACAAUGCCUUGUUAUAAAAAAAAAAAAAAGGAAAAAAGUCUUAUUGCUCUCAGGGUACCACUUUAGUACCACAUUUCGUAUGGUGACCAGCCCACAAUUCAGCGAACAUCGUGAGUUUUGGGCCUACGUCUAAAGAUACACUGGACUCAGUCACAUACUCAGGCACAGAGCUGUGCAGCCAGUGGUGUUGGGCUCUGCAGCUAUAAGGUCAAGACGAGUUGGGACUGGGGAAGCUGAGUUUUAUGGUGGUGCAGAAACCGUGAGCUGAAAGAGCAAGCUGUUGGCGGAGAGAGAUGCACAGAGAGAAGUUACAGGUAGAGAGAGACUGCCUCUAAGAGUAGGCUUGGUUCCUGGCAGCUUUCCAGUUCCCACAGCAGUCCCCGGAGUCUGGCUGUGCUGAACUUCCUACCCUCCGCUCCACGCGCUUCCCUGUUAGAUGCUACAUAACUGGCCCCCUAAUCCUGACCUACCUUGUUUUCUGCUCCUUCGGGGGUCACAGGAAGCUUAACCCAGACAUUCAUCAUUAUGAAAUAACUAAAGCAGACGACUCUCCAGGUCCUCCUCUCAGAUGCUAAUAACCAGUACUCUUGGAUAAUUCCCUUCUCCACUCCACGCUGCAGGCCUCCCAUCUACAGAACAAGACACGGAAGGAUGAAUGUCUGGCUCCCAGUGGUACAGUCCACGGUCAGAAUGUUUCCCUCAAUACCACACUUUUCCUGUAGUACAAGCAUCCCUCGUUUUAUGUGCUAUAUACUUGCCUAAAUCAUAUGAUUUCUCCUGAAAUAUAUUCUUCAGAUUUAGAAUAUAAAUGGAUACGUACUAAUAUAACCACAUAAUAUUUGCAAUGUAGAUAUUAUACACUUUUUGGUGAAAUUUAAUGUCUGAAUUUACCACUAAACCAUAAACUCCAUGAAAGCAGAGACCAUGUCUGUUUCUGCUUACCACUUUAUAUCUAGUGCCUAUCACAGGGUCGGGCACUACUAACAGCUUAACAAAUAUGUGCUCAAUGGAUUACUGACAGGUAUAAAAUUUAGCUUAAUAAGGAAUGGUCCUGGGGCAGUUAUUCCUAAGACCCAUCUUAAACAUAAAAAUGGAACUUCUGAUUCUCUUCCUGGCUCAGCUGCCCCCUCAGCCCUGUCCCUCCCCCCACCCCAACCCCAAUCUUCUCCUCCCCAUAUUCUCGACCUCAGUAAAUGGUAUCAUUUUUCACUAAGUUACUCAAAGUAAAAUCUAUGAGUAAUCCUUAAUCCCUCCUUCCCUCCACUUUCCACAUGCAACCUGUCUGCAACAUAUCUUGAGUCUCUCCUCUUCUAUCUCCACCCCGCCCCUCUACUGUCACCAUUCUCUCCUGCUUCCACUGCUGCACCCUGCUUUUACUCCCACCCCACUACAAUCAAUUUUUUUCUUUCAGUAGCCAGAGCCAUCUAAAAUAUAAACCAAAGCACACACCUCUUGCUUAAAAGUCUAUUGGUUUCUAUCUGCACACGGAACAAAAUCUACAAUCCUCAGCACCAUCCACCCCAGCCCACCCACUCGUGUGCCAUGCUGCAACCACACGACCUUCUGCUCCUUCUUGCCUUAGUGCCUACACACCUCCUCGUCCCCAGCCCUGCCUCUCCUAAGGACAGCACCUUCACAAGUCUUCAGAUCUCCGUUCUGAACCUUACCUUCUCCAUCACUUCUCUUGCCAUCACUAUGUAAAGAACCCCUGCCCCUCUACUCACACAAUUCCCAAUGUUACCAUAUGGUUUCCAUCAUAGCAUACUUAUUCCUAACAGAAAUCAUUUUAUUUAUCUGUUCAUCAUCUCUCUCUCCUCCACCAGCCUGUAAGCUCCUUGAGAGCAGCAACCCCGCACCUAGAACAGCGGCGGAUAUAUAAUCAGCACUCAAGAGUUUCUUGAAUAAACAAACCUCUGUAGUAUCUGUUUUGCUCUUUUAAACCACAUUUAUAACAUAUAAAAAACCACCUGCUUGACAUCGUCUCACUUCUAGACACAGCACACGGUGAAAACUACGAUUAAUGAAAGACUGCUUAAGUCUGCGGAUACAAGACAGGAACUUUUAGCGGCACACCAGAAUAGACUGUUAGAUCUGGUCUAUCACCAAUCCCAGCGCUUUCUACAGUGUGCGCCAAGAGACUUCUUUGGGAAGAGAACCUGCUUCUUAUUACUUUCCUCCAGAUAGGCGCUUGCUUUUACUAAAAAUUCCUUACAUCCUUUUUCAGGAUGCUAGGCUCACUAUUACACGAUUCCUCAAAUGCCAACUUACUGAAACCUAGCCCGUAGUGUUACACCUUCCCCUCGUUCAUACAAGACAUCUUGAAUAGAAACAGAGCUACCAUCAGGUGCCGUGACACAUGGAUCCCGAGAUCACAGCAUAAGGUCACACCCCACCCUCCGCAGGGAACAUCAGAAGCGUUGGGGGAUCACUCACUCUUCCUCCCACCCGAUGGUGACGUCAUCUCUCCCUCUGCACCCACAGCCUUUCACCUCCUCUGGCCCCUUCUGCCUUGAACUCGAGCCGCUUGCGUCCUGCUGUGCCCGCCUCCCAGGCGGAGAGCUCCCGCGGGCAGGAGUCUGCACCGCCGAGAGGCCAGCACGCGGGGACUCUCCGCGAGCACGGCGCGCUUCCCGCCCGCCCUCGGUUCGCUCCUGCGGCGAGAACGAGCCCCGCCUCCGGGCCGCCGAGAGCAGGGGCGCCGGCCUCCACCGCCUCCCGCCGUCUGGGACCCGGCGCCGUCUGGGGCGCGGCGGCGGCGCGGCACUCGGGAGGCGGCGCCCAGCCCAGGGUCGGUCCCGUCCUGGCGCGGCCCGGGCGGCGGCCGCGCGUCCGCAACCCCACGCGCCCUCGCGACAGGUCGGGGCGAAGGCGCGUCACGCGCUCCGGACAGAGGCCCGAGCGGGGAGGCCGAGCGCCGGCGGGAGCCCUGCCCGGAGGCGACAGCGCGAGGCCUCGGACUCGGGCGCCGCUCGCACUCCGGCAGACGGCGGGGCGGCGGACGCGAGGGCGGGGCGGUCCUCGCCCGGCCCGCCCAGCACGCCCCGCCCGCUCGGACCUCGGGACGCGGGGUCACCCCGCGGGGCCGGCCCGGGGGUCGCGCGCACCCCCGGCCCCUGCCCGCGCCAUCUUGGAGCGCUGAGGCGGCCGCUGCGGCCGUCGCUCAAUCGCAGUUCCCGGGCCAGGCCCCAUGACCCCUCCACGACCCCUUCCACGGCCGGGAGCCGCAGCAGCAGCGCGCCUCGCGGGAAGCUCCGCACGGCAGCCACGUCCUGGCCGCGCUCCGGAGCCGCGGGACACCCGCGCCAGCCGGCCGCCGCAACUGCCAACGAGCCCCGCCCCGGCCCCAGGCCUGCGGUGAUUGGGCGCCGCUGCCCGCGAGCCCCGCCCCGGUCCCGGGUCUGCGGUGAUUGGCCGCUGCGCGUGGGUUCCGCCCCUCAGCGGGACCGAGCUUGCUAAACCUGCUCAGGGCGCGACAGUGCCCGGACUCAGGCUCUCCGUGAAGGCCUGGUGUGUGGGGCCUUCUGCAGCCCGGUCCCGCAGCCAGCAUUCUCCAAGAGGGGACUCAGAGGGUGGCCCAGCUGCAAGGGCCCUUAGAGCGCCUCUGCCACCUCGCGAGACGCUGCCUCACACCCAAAGAAGGCGUGUCGCCCGGACAGCUGGGCCUCCCCUAAAAUCUGAGGAGCUCUGCCGCAGACAUCGUCCCCUGACAAGAGCCUGAGGCAUGGAUUCGCCACCGAGAGAUAUGGAGAUCCUUGAACGUCAGUUUUUCAAGUUACAACCAAAGUCCAUGUCCUGAAGUUGAUUUCUCUCUUUCAGGUCUCUUUCUAUCUAUUCUCUGUGUUUUAAGUUUGCAAGAGGAAAACAGAAUAAAUUAUGAUAAUCUUUGUAAACAUCUGCUCUGAAGACAGCUCUCUGGCUCAGACUCUCUCGCGGGCCCCCGCUUUUCCUUCAAGAUGCAAUGAUGUGCGGUUAUUUAACAUGGUGUCAGAGGUUCUCAGCGAUUGGACCCAACCACGUUCUCCAGCUUCCUCUCCACGCCCUCCCUGCGCCCGUGCCACCAUCCUGUCAGAUCCUUUUACCUUCUCCCAGACCUCCCAGCUGCUUUCACCCCCUGUCACAACACGUGUCUCUGCCCAGAACCCCCCAGUUCCUGUGGGAACCGGUCUCAGCUGAGGGAACGGAUGGUUGCUCUGGGCCCAGCUGUGCCCUGGAAGCGCUGAGCAGGAAAUGGGCUCUGCGUAAGAUCAGCACAUCUCCCUUUACCUGGGACUGCCCUGGUCUUAAACCUGAAAGUCCCAUGUCCCAGGAGCUUCCUUAGUACCAGGCAAAAUGGAACACAGUCUCCUUAGCUCUCUGCACCUCAGAAAAUGUCAUAAGGGAAUCCUGCAGGGGGCUUCCAUAUGGAAAAAUAGGGUCACACAGGUAAUAGCUACCACUCCCAAGGUAAUGCAAUAGGUGAGCUGAUUGCGAUCUUGGCUUUAUACAUCCUAUGAGUUUUGACUAGUGUAAAUGACAUGUAUACACCGUUAUUAUUUUUACUUUUUUACAUGUGGCUAUUAGGAAACUUAAAAUUACACAUGUGAUUCCCUUUGGGGCUCCCGUUAUAUUUCUAUUCUACCUACUGGUGUGAUUAUCUUUUAUUCUAGACAAAGGCUAAUGCUUAGAGAUCAGUAUGGCACUUUAAAAAUGUUUCUCACCAAUGAUUUUGUCCUGAGUGCAAAGGAAUCUUUCCGUAUUUUAGAUAAACAAGACCCAUUGUACUUUGA
ensembl:lncRNA